rnacentral:rRNA from 1 species
UACGUAGGGGGCAAGCGUUGUUCGGAAUUACUGGGCGUAAAGGGCGCGUAGGCGGCACGGCAAGUCAGAAGUGAAAGGCCUGGGCUCAACCGAGGAACUGCUUUUGAGACUGCCGAGCUAGAGUGCGGAAGGGGCAACCGGAAUUCCCAGUGUAGCGGUGAAAUGCGUAGAUAUUGGGAAGAACACCUGAGGCGAAGGCGGGUUGCUGGGCCGAAACUGACGCUGAGGCGCGAAAGCCAGGGGAGCAAACGGG